UACGGAGGAUGCAAGCGUUAUCCGGAAUGAUUGGGCGUAAAGCGUCCGCAGGUGGCUGUGUAAGUCUGCUGUUAAAGAGUGAGGCUCAACCUCAUAAAAGCAGUGGAAACUACACGGCUAGAGUGCGUUCGGGGCAGAGGGAAUUCCUGGUGUAGCGGUGAAAUGCGCAGAUAUCAGGAAGAACACCGAUGGCGAAAGCAGCUUUCUGGGACGGUACUGACGCUGAGACGCGAAAGCGUGGGGAGCGAACAGG
rnacentral:rRNA from 1 species